GAGUUUGAUCCUGGCUCAGGAUGAACGCUGGCGGCGUGCCUAAUACAUGCAAGUCGAACGGAGAAUGUAGCAAUACGUUCUUAGUGGCGAACGGGUGAGUAACGCGUUGGUGACCUGCCCCGAAGUGGGGGAUAACAGCUCGAAAGGACUGCUAAUACCCCAUGUGGUCAUUGGGAUUAGAUGCCCGAUGAUUAAAGGAGUAAUUCGCUUCGGGAGGGGCCUGCGUCCCAUCAGCUAGUUGGUAAGGUAAUGGCUUACCAAGGCGAUGACGGGUAGGGGACCUGAGAGGGUGGCCCCCCACAAUGGAACUGAAACACGGUCCAUACACCUACGGGUGGCAGCAGUAGGGAAUAUUGCUUAAUGGGCGAAAGCCUGAAGCAGCAACGCCGCGUGUGCGAUGAAGGCCUUCGGGUUGUAAAGCACUUUUUGAGGGGAUGAGGAAGGACAGUACCCUCAGAAUAAGUCUCGGCUAACUACGUGCCAGCAGCCGCGGUAAAACGUAGGAGGCGAGCGUUAUCCGGAUUUACUGGGCGUAAAGCGCGUGCAGGCGGCUCGAAAAGUUGGAUGUGAAAGCUCCUGGCUUAACUGGGAGAGGUCGUUCAAUACUUUCGGGCUUGAGGAUGGGAGAGGGAGGUGGAAUUCCGGGUGUAGUGGGUGAAAUGCGUAGAUAUCCGGAGGAACACCAGUGGCGAAGGCGGCCUCCUGGCCCAUUUCUGACGCUCAGACGCGAAAGCUAGGGUAGCAAACGGGAUUAGAGACCCCGGUAGUCCUAGCUGUAAACGAUGUAGACUUGGCGUUGGUGGGUUCAAAUCCAUCAGUGCCGGAGCUAACGCGUUAAGUCUACCGCCUGGGGACUACGGCCGCAAGGCUAAAACUCAAAGGAAUUGAC
rnacentral:rRNA from 1 species